rnacentral:rRNA from 1 species
UACGGAGGAUGCGAGCGUUAUCCGGAUUUAUUGGGUUUAAAGGGUGCGUAGGCGGAUCGUUAAGUCAGUGGUCAAAUUGAGGGGCUCAACCCCUUCCCGCCAUUGAAACUGGCGAUCUUGAGUGGAAGAGAAGUAUGCGGAAUGCGUGGUGUAGCGGUGAAAUGCAUAGAUAUCACGCAGAACCGCGAUUGCGAAGGCAGCAUGCCGGCUUCCUACUGACGCUGAAGCACGAAAGCGUGGGGAUCGAACAGG